GACGAACGCUGGCGGCGUGCUUAACACAUGCAAGUCGAACGGAAAGGCCCUGCUUUUGUGGGGUGCUCGAGUGGCGAACGGGUGAGUAACACGUGAGUAACCUGCCCUUGACUUUGGGAUAACUUCAGGAAACUGGGGCUAAUACCGGAUAGGAGCUCCUGCUGCAUGGGGGGGGUUGGAAAGUUUCGGCGGUUGGGGAUGGACUCGCGGCUUAUCAGCUUGUUGGUGGGGUAGUGGCUUACCAAGGCUUUGACGGGUAGCCGGCCUGAGAGGGUGACCGGCCACCUUGGGCCUGAGGUACGGUCCAGACUCCUACGGGAGGCAGCAGUGGGGAAUAUUGCACAAUGGGCGGAAGCCUGAUGCAGCAACGCCGCGUGCGGGAUGACGGCCUUCGGGUUGUAAACCGCUUUCGCCUGUGACGAAGCGUGAGUGACGGUAAUGGGUAAAGAAGCACCGGCUAACUACGUG
rnacentral:rRNA from 1 species